GGCAUGGUGGUGUAGUGGUUAGCACUGUCGCCUAACAGCAAGAAGGUUGUGGGUUCGAAUCCCACCUGGGGCA